GCUGCUGUGGCACAGUCGGUAGCGCAUCUCAUUGGUAGUGAGAAGGUCACGGGUUCGAUUCCCGUCAGUAGCU
rnacentral:tRNA from 1 species